GCAAGAUGACCUUAACACUAAGAAACUGGUAAAGAGUUCAUCUAUAUUUCUGCAACACAUUCAAACAGUUUCAUUACGACAUUUAUUUUAAUUUCAGUUACAUAAAGAUUCUGGACACAACAGGAAGUGAAGGGGACUUUUAAGUUGGUUUCUAGGCCUUCUUCCACCUGUAUUUCUUCCUUGCAGGUCGUGACCUGAAAUUUACAGUCAUUAUAUGUGGAAAAAUCAUGUAUGGAUUCAGCUUUUGGACACAAAAUGGAGGGUUCUAGAACAAGGGAACAAAAGGAUUUGAACAAAACCUAUUACAUGGGGCUUGUACGGAGAAACACACAUCUCCACUGAAUGUUCUUAGACAUUCAGCAGAACGGAACAUUCUGUUUCACCUCUAAGCUUGACGGCCUCCGCUGAGACACAUUAGCCCUCUGCUGCAUUCUUCUGGGGCUGAAUGGGGAUAUUGGGCUUCAUGUGUCACUAAAGAAGACUAAUAACCUGAAGACUGCCUCCCAUUUUCUAAUUAAUGAGUGGAACACAGUGAGCCGUGAAUGUGGCACACCAUUGAGCUCAAACACCUCACCAGGUGGCUGCCAUGAUGUUUGGACCAUGGCUAUAAAUAGGUAGAGAGAAAGCUGCCUACUGUAUAUUUUAGCUUCUGUUGCUAACAGAUAAAACUAUGUAAACUAGUUGAGUUUAGUUUGAGAAUCUGAGUUUAGGGAUGUGAAGUGUAAAUGGAGGUUCCCACAGUCAACCUGGAAAUAUCUGUGAAUUUUAAAAUUGUAAUUUCCAGACCAGCUUUAAAAUGUUUAAUUGACUCUUUCUGAGUCCAAAAUAGUAAUGCAAAUCCUUAUCCAGUAAUUGACUGAAAUUCAUUGUCUAAAGGUGUGGGAAAUCUGUGUUGAAAUUACCUACAAUUAUUGACAACGCUACUAAUUUUACUACAUUUAUCAGUAGCGUAACAAUAGUUCAUCUGUUUUUCA